rnacentral:rRNA from 1 species
UCGCCCUUUGAUGAACCCGCGUAAGAUUAGCUAGUUGGUGUGGUAAAGGCUCACCAAGGCGACGAUCUUUAGCUGGUCUGAGAGGAUGAUCAGCCACACUGGGACUGAGACACGGCCCAG